rnacentral:sRNA from 1 species
UUUUUUUUUUUCGGCGGAGAUCCUCGUUGGGGCUGGGAAACUCCUGCAAAACUCGAGACCAGGAAGCCAGCCCGCACCCCAACCCCCACCAAAGCCACCUACUCUUCUGCGGGAGGCCAGUCCACAUCCGUUCUCACCCGAGAGAGAUUUUCAGCUGGAUCCAAAGUGACUGAUGAAGGGAAGGAAAUCAUGUCAAGCGAAGCCUUGAAAAAGCUGCCCUGAGACGCUGUCCCGCCGAAAGUCCUUCAGCUCACAGCGGGAUGCUAAUCCAUGAAGGUGACCUCGCGGUACUGGUUAAUUAAACUUUAUUGCUCAGUGAAAAAAAAAAA